GCUGAUGGCAGUAUAAGAGGCAGAGGGGUGGAGGGAGCUUUGUCACUUUGCUCUCAUUCACAGGGACAAUCACUCUCUGGACAAACACCCACGACGGACACACACACUGAAGACACACACGGAAGACACACAUUCAUUAACUGAGAAGAGAUCCUGAGAGGGACCCAGAGCACCACCGCAUCCUGCCCAGAGAGAGAGACUGAUUCCUGGGUAGAGAGAGGAGCUCCAGACCCUUCCUAUCCUGAGAGGGACCCACAGCACCACCGCAUCCUGCCCAAAGAGAGAGACUGAUUCCUGGGUAGAGAGAGGAGCUCCAGACCCUUCCUAUCCUGAGAGGGACCCACAGCACCACAGCAUCCUGCCCAGAGAGAGAGACUGAUUCCUGGGUAGAGAGAGGAGCUCCAGACCCUUCCUAUCCUGAGAGGGACCCACAGCACCACCGCAUCCUGCCCAGAGAGAGAGACUGAUUCCUGGGUAGAGAGAGGAGCUCCAGACCCUUCCUAUCCAGCCAUGAGGAUCAUCAGCCUACUGUACCUGCUGCUGCUAGUAACUGUUCUAGGAUCAGUUUCUGCAGUGAGACCAGACAUCUUGAACAUACGGAGAAGGUACCACAGACAUCACUGCCCCCACCGCCGCUGCAUGCCCCUGCACUCCAGAGUACCAUUCCCCUGAGGACACCACACACACCUGUGGGGACACACCUGUGGGGACACACCUGUGGACACGGAGUCCGGAAACACGGCGCUGAAGGACUGAAGACUGAGCGAGAGACAUAGCCUGUGCUGAGACUGGGAGUUUGGGCAGAGAAGAGAGAGAGGACUACUGCUGCUGCUGUUGAAUAGACAAAAGAUAUGAACUGGAGUCACUAGACUACCUGCCUUCCUGCUCACAUCACUUCAUAUACAUACCACCGCCAUCUAUCUGGGUACUGAGACAUUUAUACUAUAUACCACCGCCAUCUAUCUGGGUACUGAGACAUUUAUACUAUAUACCACCGCCAUCUAUCUGGGUACUGAGACAUUUAUACUAUAUACCACAGUACCAAAACAUUUAUACUAUAUACCACAGUACCAAGACAUUUAUACUAUAUACCACAGUACCAAGACAUUUAUACUAUAUACCACAGUUCCAAGACAUUUAUACUAUAUACCACCGCCAUCUAUCUGGGUACUGAGACAUUUAUACUAUAUACCACCGCCAUCUAUCUGGGUACUGAGACAUUUAUACUAUAUAC